rnacentral:rRNA from 1 species
GACGAACGCUGGCGGCGUGCUUAACACAUGCAAGUCGAACGGAAAGGCCCUGCUUUUGUGGGGUGCUCGAGUGGCGAACGGGUGAGUAACACGUGAGUAACCUGCCCUUGACUUUGGGAUAACUUCAGGAAACUGGGGCUAAUACCGGAUAGGAGCUCCUGCUGCAUGGUGGGGGUUGGAAAGUUUCGGCGGUUGGGGAUGGACUCGCGGCUUAUCAGCUUGUUGGUGGGGUAGUGGCUUACCAAGGCUUUGACGGGUAGCCGGCCUGAGAGGGUGACCGGCCACAUUGGGACUGAGAUACGGCCCAGACGCCUACGGGAGGCAGGAGUGGGGAAUAUUGCACAAUGGGCGGAAGCCUGAUGCAGCAACGCCGCGUGCGGGAUGACGGCCUUCGGGUCGUAAACCGCUUUCGCCUGUGACGAAGCGUGAGGGACGGUAAUGGGUAAAGAAGCACCAGCUAACUACGU